rnacentral:rRNA from 1 species
CUACGGGGUGCACCAGUGGGGAAUAUUGCGCAAUGGGCGAAAGCCUGACGCAGCAACGCCGUGUGAGGGAUGAAGGCUUUCGGGUCGUAAACCUCUGUCAGAAGGGAAGAACGGGUAUUGGUCUAAUAGGCCUUUAUUUUGACGGUACCUUCAGAGGAAGCACCGGCUAACUCCGUGCCAGCAGCCGCGGUAAUACGGAGGGUGCAAGCGUUAUUCGGAAUUACUGGGCGUAAAGCGCACGUAGGCCGCUUUGUAAGUCAGGGGUGAAAUCCCACGGCUCAACCGUGGAACUGCCUUUGAAACUGCAGAGCUUGAAUGCUGGAGAGGGUGGCGGAAUUCCUGGUGUAGGAGUGAAAUCCGUAGAUAUCAGGAGGAACACCGGUGGCGAAGGCGGCCACCUGGACAGGUAUUGACGCUGAGGUGCGAAAGUGUGGGGAGCAAACAGGAUUAGAUACCCUUGUAGUC